GCUUCGCUUCCGUGGAAGAGGAGUAGAAGUGAGAGUGUGGCGAUGGAGAGAAGAGAAAAUAUAAGCUUAUGCAUUUUUUUUUCUCUCUUUACUUUGUAUAAGAGACUUGAGUAGGAAGAUGGUUUUUAAAGGAGGUGGUUGAUGUUUUACUACGGUUGCAUUGCAUUUGCACUCAAACAGUAUAUAUUUAAAGCUCUUACUAGUAUAUAUUUUUGAAUUUAGAUUAUGAGUAGAUUUAAUUAUUAUGAAAUUUCUUUCUCAAAGUAAAUUUAAGUUUGUAUUUUUGAGUAAAAUAGUAUGGUAGCACAUAUAUCUUAAGCUAACGUACAACGUAGGAUCGUAAAUUAAUCAAUUUAUUCAAGGUUAAAAAUGGAUACUCAAAUACUGACACAUUGUGACAUGAAGAGCCACAGGAGUCGCAUUGCAUGGCAAUGUCACAGUUUGCAUUUUAACACAUCAUAUUGUCAUAUAUGCCAAGUGUCCACACGCACAUUCAAUGUAUAUGAAAUGAAAUUAAGAACAUAUAUAUGCCUUACUUAUUAGAAUUAAUAAGAAAUCUUCUAUGCUCAAUUUAUCAAAUUAUACAAGAUAGAAAGAUGAGUUAAAAUCGUUUUUUUCAAAUAGUUUUUUUAAUUGGACGUUGAAACAAAAUUACAACCCAAUUGACAUAAAGUUAUAAUCUUCUUGAUUACCAAAAAAAAAAAGGUUAUAAUCUUCAAACCAUGUGUAUCUGUUUUUUUUACUGCUGGAGUUAAAAAAAACUCAUGCUGACACUCACAUGUGUCUGUGACAAAAAGAAAAGACUAAAUUAUAUAAUGGGCCUAAUGCAGCAUACGUUUAUUAAUGGGCCUGGGCGAUUCGACCCGAAUUAACCAGAAGAUAGAUAUAGUUUAUGAUAUAUCAGGAGUUUAUUCGUCGUUUUGUCAAUUGUCAAUUCUCAAUUCUAAAACCCUAAGCUUCGCCGAUCAUCUCCGAUCCUUUCCUAAACCCAGAGCUGAGCUAAGGUGCCUUUGUCUCUCUCUCUAGCUCCUCCAUUUUUACUGUGUUUAAUGGUGCUCUCUGUUUGGGUGCCGAUAAAACUUUUACGAUGUGCCUGAUCGUUGUUCAGUUUGAUAAAUCCUUGCGUGAUUUUAGGCAUAGAUCGUCGAUCUAUUUCUCGUUUCAAAGGCUUACUCGUUGUAUUUUGUUCGUUUGAAUCGAUCCGUGGUAAACUGAUUUAACUCGAUAAUGGUCAAAGGCUCGAUCGAUUUGAGCAUUCAGUUUCUGGAAUUUUUUUAUAUGUGAUCGUUUCGAGUUCACGUUUUCUAUUGCUGCGUUGAGGUUAUUGGAUAUUUGGAGAAGGAUUCGAUCUCAGAAACGUUGGUUUGUUGUUUCAUGUAAACUGUUUCUCUUUGUGUAAUCUCAUUGCCGUGUUGAUUGUUUGUUGUAGAUCUUAAAGAAAUGAGUUUCAAGAAAGUGCCCAACGUCCCUGGAUCUCCUGCUCUCUCUGCCCUUCUUAAGGUCAGCGUUAUCGGUGGCCUCGGUGUCUACGCCAUUAGCAAUAGCUUGUACAAUGUCGAGGGUGGUCACCGUGCUGUCAUGUUCAACCGAUUAACUGGUGUCAAGGAAAAGGUUUUGUAUUAUUCCUCCAACGAACACAUUAGUCUAUUAAUAGUUACUUUGGAAAAAAAAUGUGAGUUUUUUACUCUCGGAUUUGGAUUUUUAAGGUUUACCCGGAAGGAACGCAUUUCAUGUUGCCGUGGUUUGAGAGGCCAAUCAUCUAUGACGUCCGUGCACGACCCUAUCUUGUGGAGAGCACCACCGGUAGUCAUGACCUUCAGAUGGUAUGCGUUCUGUUGUUUCUUGUUGCGUUCUGUUGUGUUUUUGUAAUAUUAUACAUGCCAUGCUUUAGUUUCAAAUGCUGUUCUGGAUCAUGCUAGACAUUCCUUCUUUUGAGCUUAUGCUGAGAUUCUUAAAUGCAGCAUGAGGACAAUGUUUUUAAGUUUAGAUAUAUGGUUUUAUGACAAUGGAGCUGUAGAAUAUGUUUCAUUUGCCCUGUUAGCAUAUUAUGUGAUUAGUGUAUAUCCCUUAUAUGAUCUGUGUGAGUGUAUGGAUAAUGGUUUUGAAAAGAGAUGGGAAAAAAAAUCUGAUUAUAUAUCUUCUCAUUCUCCUUUGUUUCUAUCUAUCGGAGUUUGGGGCUAUGAGACGACAAAUCAUAUCAUGCUUUCUUUAGGAAGAGAUUACAUUAAAGCUGGAACAGAAAAUAACUUGGUGUUGCUGUGUGUCUGAUAUUUUUCUUUGUUGUUGCUCAGGUGAAAAUUGGACUCAGGGUUCUCACACGUCCCAUGGGUGACCGUUUGCCUCAUAUUUACCGAACCCUAGGCGAGAAUUACAGUGAAAGGGUUCUUCCUUCCAUCAUCCAUGAAACUCUAAAAGCUAUAGUAGCUCAGUACAAUGCAAGCCAGCUCAUCACUCAGAGAGAGGUAUAUAUCUCAACAUUCUUCUUCUGCAAUCUUAGCUCGUGUACUGAAAAAGUCGCUACGUUCUGGAUCGUCUAUAUUCUCGUGCAGCCUCGCCGUGCAAUACGUCUCUUCAAUGCCAUUACCAUUCCCAUCUUGUUGCCAUUGACGUGACGGGGAGCUGAUGAAAUGUAGCGGACCGUUUGCUCGGACUAUGUUUCCUCUGUUGUCUUUCUGGUUCUGUAGUUUCUUAGCUGUCUCGAUGUCGAUCUUGAAUGCUUCUGCGAUUAUGUUCGGGUCGAUACCGCUGAAAGCGUUUUUGCCUGAUGGCCAAGUCAGUGGUUGUUGUUGUUGUUUUUGCGUCCUACUCCCUGCUAUUUGGAACAUCUACAAAUGUGUGGUUCAUAUGAUUUAUUAUUGUAGUAACCAUAUUGAUAGCAUGCAAUGAAAAAUUUAGAGUUUCUUGAAUAGUUACCCUAGGGACUUGGUCAAGCUGGUUUUCUCUGUUGGUAACAUCAAGAACGAUCACGAUGACGACGUCGGAAUUGCCGCGGUUGUACCACCACUGUGAAACGCCGGCAAGCGAAGCAAACACAUCUCCUCGCCGGAAAUCCUCCAGCUUCUGGUGCAUGUCCUCAAAACGUCGAUGCAUGUCUCCUCCUACUCCUCCUCCAGCUUCUUCAUAAGUCUCAGGACAGCCAGAAGCAAUUGUCCCCAUCACUCCUUCUCCUGUAAACAAUAAUUAAAAAAAAAAAACUAAACUCUAUUAAUUUUCCUCACAAGAAUAAUUUAUACUAGAAGAAAUACCUUGGACAACGUAAGCGAGGGAAGGUGGGCUAAAGAAAGAGGGCAAGAAAAUGGAAUUGGCUUGAAGAGUGAUGCGAGCUACGGUCACACCAGCGCACUGGAGCUCGUUGCUUGUGUGAUCCCAUACUUCCAUCUGCCCGGCUUCGAACUUAGUCGCAUGAGCCGGGCUGAGGCUGUUGAUCUGGCUGAAAUGGCAUGCGUUGGGCAACGGAAGCUCUCGCUGGCGUGCUUCGCUUCCGUGGAAGAGGAGUAGAAGUGAGAGUGUGGCGAUGGAGAGAAGAGAAAAUAUAAGCUUAUGCAUUUUUUUUUCUCUCUUUACUUUGUAUAAGAGACUUGAGUAGGAAGAUGGUUUUUAAAGGAGGUGGUUGAUGUUUUACUACGGUUGCAUUGCAUUUGCACUCAAACAGUAUAUAUUUAAAGCUCUUACUAGUAUAUAUUUUUGAAUUUAGAUUAUGAGUAGAUUUAAUUAUUAUGAAAUUUCUU
rnacentral:lncRNA from 1 species